rnacentral:lncRNA from 1 species
AUUUGAUUUCAUCAAAUCUUACACAAUAGUUGAAGCCCUUCAAGUCAACUUUCCAACUCCACCUUCGAAUUGUUAAAUGCCUUUCUACAACUCUUUGUAUGCUUGAAAGAGUGACAAUAGGUAUAAAUUUCACAUCUAGAUUUUAAAUAGCCAUGACUCUCUUAUUGUAGACUCAAAGUUAACAACCCUUUUACAAAAAUUGUAGUCCUUCAAACCAGCUUAUCAACGACAUCUUUUGUUUUCCAA